ACCGGAGAUUAAACUUCGUAGUGGACUCAGAAGUCUGCUACAGGUGGCGCCCAAUGUGGGGCAAUCGGGAGCCUGAAAGAGUGGUUUCCCCCGGUGAGGAGCCCUUGACCAAGGUGGGCUGCCUGGCCAGCAGCUCUGAUAAGGAGCGCUCCACCCGUCUGAAACAAGACGGGAAACGGGGUCUCCCGCUGUUUGAAAUAAGACAGCAAAAGGAUCUCAGGACGGGAAAAGAGGCGAUUCCCGCCCUUUGAAAAAAGACGGCAAACAAGAAAACUUUGAUAAAGCUGCCUGGAUACCAGAGAAAAAUGUCAGAGCGUGUAUAACAACUCACAGCUCGAAUGCAGAGUAUGAGAAUUCAGGGGAAGCACAGAAGGAGCCAAUCUACAGUGAUGAGUCGCCUUCCCACAUAGAGGUCAAGUGAUAGCUCCCUCUCAUCGAGUGAUAAAAGACUCCCAAACUUGUAGUUUUAGCAAUAGUAGCUUUACUUUCUGCUCAAGUGUGUAAUGUACAGAAUGCUCAGCACUCAGGACUUCUUUUUCCUUUUCCACCCUGGUUGCAACCUAUCACAAAUAUGGACAAAUUGGGACUAUAUAUAUGCUAAUAACACCUGUAUAUUCGGAAGACAACAAGAUCCCUAUCUCCAGGACAAAGUCAAUGUUAUGAUUACCCUCGGAUCUCUAGCAUCCAGGACAAAUAUAUGUUUUUCAAAAUUUGGCAACAAUAUUGAAUUAUGUCUUUUCUUUGUUACAUCAUUUGUUAAUGGAUAUGUAAAUUUUAUUCAAUCUAAUACUAUUUUUGAAUUGGAAUGUGACUUGUGUCAAUUGUACUCUCAACCAAUGUAUUGAUCAUAAUGACUAUGUUGUACUUUUGGUAAAACAAUAAUCAUUUAUUCUUUUCCCUACUAAUAUUUCACAUGAAUAGUUCCAGAACUCUGGAAAACAUGCUCCUAAAAUUAUUAUUUCCUCCUUAAGUCAAUCAAAACAAUUUAUUGGUCUCCUUAUUAUUGGUUCAAUCAUUGUUGCUUCUUUUAUUGUAUCUACUACUGUUUUAUCUAUUGCACUUCAAUUUGAAAUGUGAUUAUCGCUAUUCAUUUAUCUGUGUAACUCCAUAUGUGUAUUCAAACUUUACUAAUAUAACUAUUGAACAAAUAUUAAAUAAGCUCCAAGCUGCAUGGCACUCUGA